rnacentral:lncRNA from 1 species
GUGGGUGUUCAGGCUGGCUCUGGUGAAAGGGUUUGAGCUGAUGGAAGGAUUAUGAUUGAUAGGUUGAGCUUCUGCUAAACUGUUUUGUUCUGAAACAGUUGUGUUAUAUUUCUGAGGAAAAAGCACUAAAUUCUUUUACUAGGAAGUAUUUUCACCAGAUUAUGGUUUGAUAGGGGACUUACAGUUAGGGACCUUUCCUUUCAGGAGCUUGAUUUUUUCUCAUAAGCACCUUCCAAAACUGCUGCAAAUAACUAGGUCAAUAUGUAACUAUGUUUUAGCUCUGAUUCAUCCUGUCUCUUUUUCACAGCAAAAGCUGCUUAGGGAUGUUAGCAAACUGGGGUGAUAAAGAUACUAUGCAUGGUAGCAUUUUUCCUUUUUAUAAUGAUUUCAGCUUCACUAUCACAAGGUUCUCUAAAUACUCAGUAUAAGAAGAAAAUCUUAUCUUGUCAAGGAUAUGAUCUUCACUUUUUCCUCUUGGAGAAAAUAAACUUUGAGUGAUUUUUGUAGUUUUGAAUUCUAAGCUGGAACAGUGUCAUAUAUGAUACCAUCUGUUGGGCUGGAAAUCCAGCAUUUGGAAAACUGCAAAACCGAAAAUCCAGGAAAUUUUUUAACUUCCUCUGUACUACAUUGGAUGAAUUCUUUAAAAAAUUAUUUAAAGUGUGCUGGGGACUCUGCAGGAUGAGGAACACUACAGUCAGCCAGCUUUUCUUUCUAAGGAAUCUCUGUGGAUCAAAACUUCAUUAUCCAGGAUGUACCCAACACAUAUCAAACUAG